GCCAGGCUUGGUGGCGCAUGCCUGUAAUCCUGGCAGCUUGGGAGGCUGAGGCAGGAGGAUCAAAAGUUUAAGGCCAGCAUCUGCAACUUAGUGAGGCCCUCAGCAAUUUAGUGAGACCUUGUCUCUA
rnacentral:sRNA from 1 species